GCGACUGGCCAUUCAUAUAAUAAAGCUCAAUAUUUGAAUUAUAGUAAAUAAGUAAAGCAAGAUACAUUUUUUAAAAAAUUUAAUUUAAUUUUUUAUUUCUUCGGGGUCAUAUUCUAAUCAUUUUUCUUUGUAUUACAGUUUUUUUGGUCUUAAUAAGGUCUUUUUGCCCACAUAGUUGAUGACUCUGAAACGAGGAGAGAAUUUAACCACUCAGUUUUCUGACAUGUCACUGGAUCCUACCCAGUAGUAUCGGAAGGAAGCUGAAAAUGGUGUUAGCUGCACUUAGGACAAACAAAAAUCAUUCCAGGUAAAAUAACCUUGUAAAGAAAAGUUAUAGUGUAUUAUAGAGGCCUUGGCUAGGUUCAUGAUGACAAAGGACCUUGUCUGAACAUAAUGAUUUCAAAACUUGAGCUUAAAUGACACUCUGAAAUCUAGUCAAUGUGCCUCAGUAGACUUUUCAUAGAACAUUAUUUUCAACAGCUAUUUUGACUUACUGUGGAACUUUGAAUACUUAGAAAUGUCAGGUGUAAAUUGGCAGUAUACAUUGCCAAUUCUUCAGACAUCUUUUUUUAAGUUUUCAUAAGAUAUUCUGAGCUCAUUAUUUUUCCCUUCUUUUUAAACAUGUAUGCUGUUGAAAGCAAAAAAGGAAACUCAGCCUUAAAUCCCAGAAGGUACACACACAUGCUGAGAUGGAAGCAAGGACAUGUAAAAGGGAGACGACCACCUCUUCGAUAAAACAUAGAAUGCCAGAAUUAGUGAUGUCCAGGAAAGAGGGGAACUCAUAUUUAUGGAACAUGUAUUAUAAAAUGCAGUGAGUAUGGGGUGAGAGGAUCUCUCCUGCUUAAUUGAGAUGAUGAAGGACCAAUAAGAGAGCAGUUUUUGAAAUCCAGUUCCAAGGAUAUAUUUGUUUUAGAUGUGAAUGUUGAUUAAUGACUUCAGGUGUUAAAUGCAGCAAGUCCAUCUAUGCCAAAAUGGCCAUUAUGAAUAGUUUGUGAGUGAUCAUGAAGAACGUGUGAUUUAGAGACUAGUACAGCAGAGUUUUACACACUGAAACAGUAUUGUGGGAUACACGAAAAGAAUAUGGGAGAAGAUGGGAUAUGAGAAGUACAUGAUGAAAAGAAGAGAUUUAUAGAUAACCUGAGGACAACUGACAUCAGGAAUAUUCCUCAUGCUAUGGACUUCUUUAAUGUAAAAGUGUUAACUGGGAAUAAUAGGAGGUGAUAGUUUCAUGAAAACACACUUCCGCCCUCCUGGUUUGUAAUUCCAAGAAUUGGUAUCAUCAGACCUCUCUCUGGCAGUAUUAUUCAUUCAACGUUUCUUCAUCUCUGAUCUCUGUUUCCACAAAUACCCCUUGGAGAAAUUACUGUGGUGACUAAACAGAAAAACUGAUGCUAUUGCUUCUGCCACCAUCUUCAAAUCCAAAAAACAGUCUUAAUAAUGUAUGGAGACUUCUGUUUCAUGUGUUAGAGUGGAUACUCCUCGCAGAUCAGAAAAAAUGGACUGAGAAAACUCAAGUUUGAAAAUUACUAGAGUGUCAUUGGAGGGAAUUGUAACCAGGCAUGUUGACUGUUUUCAUAAUGACAUUGGACUAAAUCUCAGGAGCUUGAAUGGUGGAGAUGUUAUUACCUAGAGAGGUUCAGUAUGAUCUUAAAUAGUACAAACAUUACAUUUCGGAAUUUUAAUCUUUGACAAUGUGGUGUUACAAAAAACUGCUUUUAUUCUCUUAAACUGUUCAGUUCAGUCAUCUUCAUAUAUCCUUAAAACUUACUAGUCACUUGUUUUUUCAUUUUCCUCUGUUGUUGUUUUUUUUUUUUUCAUUUCCCUCAGAAUAUUAGUGUUUUUGUAAUGGUUUCUAAGAUGAUUUAUGACUAAGUAUGUUAGUAUGUUAACCAUUUGUCAUGCAUUGCAAAUUUCAUACUGUAUGUUCUCAUCACCAUUUUACUGUGAUGUUUUGGUUGUACAAAAGUUGUUUUCAAAUAUAAUGCUCUGCUUUAUGCCUUUUGAGUUCUGUGUUUUUAUUCAGAUAUGUGUCCAUCACUCUCAUGCAUUCUUUGUAUUCUGUUUUUUGUCACUCUGUCAUUUCAUUUUUUCCGUUAAUUGUUACUGUGGUUUUAAACCAUUACCCAGUGAAAUUAUUUACCUUGAUUUAAGAAGUUAUCACUUAGCUAAAUGCUACCAUAGUUACUUAAAAAUUCCCACAUAGAAUCAUCUGCAUCUCUAUUUGUUUGCCUUACUGUCCUUUGAUACUUUAAAGUUACUGAUGAUUUUGUCUAUUCCAUUGAGAUCUAUCUCAUUUCUCUUUUUUUUCCAGAAUAUUCCCUUUCUAUAGUCGCAUUUUUUUCUCUCAAUUGAUGCUUAAAAUUAUUUUGCAAGUUGGAAAAAAAUGCAGUUUUAAUUUCAUUUGCACCAAAUUUAAUAGAUUAAUUAGGAGAGAAUAGAUGUCUUUCAAAGUGAGUCUUCCUAUCAAUCUGCAAGGGACACAGUGAGAGAGGAAACACCAACAGGAAGUGUGGGAGAGGGAGAAGCAGAGGGAGAAGUUCCCCACUGAGCAGGGAUCCUGAUUUGGGACUCAAUUCCAGGGCUCUAGGAUGAUGACCUGAGCUAAAGGCAGACACUUAACCACUGAGCUACCCAGGGGCCUGAACAUAAGAAUUUUUAAAUUUGGAUUCCUGUAUAGUUAAGGUACAGUGUUAAAUUAGUUUCAAGUAUCCAUAUAGUGAUUCAAGAAUUCCAAGUAUCCCCUAGCAUUCAUCACAAGUACACUCAAUUCCUAUCCCCCCCACAUCAUUUAUAAUAACCAUUGGGUUUUUUUUUUUUCUCUAGAGUUAAGAGUUUUGGUUUCUCUCUUUCUUCUGUUUGCUAGUUUGUUUCUUAAAUUCCACCUUCCACCUACGAGCGAAAGAAUAUGGUAUUUGUCUUUUUAUGACUGACUUAUUUCACUUAAUACAGUACUCUCAACCUCAAUCUGUGUGGUUGCAAAUGACAGUUUGAUUAUUUUUUUAUAACUUAGUAACAUUCUGUCAUAUAUAUGAUAUAAACACAAACUAGUUAAGUAUCCAUUCAUCAGUCAGUGGACACAUGGCUGCUUACAUAACCUGCCUGUUGUAAAUAAUGCUGCAAUAAACUUAGGGGUGGAUGUACUACUUUUAGUUAGUGAUUUUGUAAUAUUUAGGUAGAUUUACAGUAUGUGAUUCAUAGGUCAUAAGGUAGUUCUAUUUUUUUAAUUUAAAUUUUUUUUUUGUAUUUCAUAUAUGACAGAUAGCCUUCCAGAAAGGGAACAUAAGCAGGGGGAGUCAGAGAGGGAGAAGCAGACUUCCCACUGAGCAGGAAGCCCAAUUCAGUACCCUGGGAUCAUGACCUGAGCCAAAGGCAGAUGCUUAACAACUGAGCCUCCCAAGGACCCCUAUUUUUUAACUUCUUGAGGAAUCUUCAUACUGUUUUCCAGAGUGUCUGCACCACUUUGCAUUUCACCAAAAGGGCAAGAAUAUUCUGUUUUCCCCAUAUCUUCCCCAACCCUGCUGCUUCUUUUGUUGUUUAUUUUAGCCAUUGUGACCCCUUUGAAGUGAUGCAUUAUUGUAAUUUUGAUUUGCAUUAUCCUGAUGAUGAGUGAAAAGCAUCUUUUCAUGUGUUCUUUGGCCAUCUGUAUUCUUUUUUAGAGAAAUGUCUGUUCAUAUAUUUGCUAUUUAUUAUGAUUUUUGAGUGUUUAGUUAUAUGACUAUAUAUUUAGAGUAAUGAAUUCUUCAUCAGAUGUGUCAUUUGCAAAUAUCUUUUUCCAUUCGUUAUGUUGCUCAUUAGUUUGUUGAUUAUUUCCUUUACUGUAUGGAAGCUUUCUAUUUUUUUAUAUUUUAUUGUUUUUAGAGCAGGAGAGUUAGAGUGAGUGGAAGGGAAAUGGAGAGGGUGAGAGAGAGAAUCUUAAGCAGGGUCCAUGCUCAGCACAGAUCUGAUGUCCCUGAGACUAUGACUUAAGGCAAAAUUAGUAGUUGGAGGCUUAACCAAUUGAGCCCCAUAGGCACCUGAGAAGCUUUUUAUUUUAAUGUGUUGUUUUAUUUUAAUGUGUUUAUUUAAAUGUGUUUUAAUGUGUUUAUUUUAAUGUUAGUUUAUUCUUUCUUUUGUUUCCCUUGCCUCAGGAGACUUCCCUAGAAAAACAGUUGCUUCAGCUGAUAUCAGCAGAUUUAUUGCCUGUGUUCUCUAGAAUUUUUAUUGUUUGAGAUCUCACAUUAAGGGAUUUCAUCCAUUUUGAAUUUAUUUUUGUGUACAAUGUAAGAAAGUUGUCCAGUUUCAUUCUUUUGUGUGUUGCUGUCUACGGUUUCCCCCAUUAUAUUUAUUGAAGAGACUUUUUUUGCCAUUGGAUAUUAUUUCCUGCUUUGUUGAUUAAUUAAUCAUAUAGCUGUGGGUUUAUUUUCUUUUUAGUUCCACUUUUCUAUGUGUCCAUUUUUGUCUAACACCACAACCUUUUGAUUACUAGAGCUUUGCAGUGUAACCUGAGAUGUAGAAUUGUGAUGCCUCCAGCUUUGCUUUCUUUUUGCAAAGUUGCUUUGUCAAUUCAGGGUCUUUUGUGCUUUGAUACAAAUUAUACGAUGUUUAUUCUAGCUCUGUGAAAAAUACAGGUAGUAUUAUUUUUUUAAAGAUUUCUUAUUUAUUUGAUAGAAAGAGAGAGAGAGAUCAGAAGUACGCAGAGAGAGAAGGAGAAGCAGGCUCCCAAGCUGAGCAGAGAGCCUGAUGCGGGACUCAAUCCCAGGACCCUGAGAUCAUGACCUGAGCCAAAGGCAGAGGCUUACCCCAUCGAGCCACCAACAUGCUCUAAUAUGAGUGGUAUUUUGAUAGGGAUGGCAGUAAUUUUAACUGAGGUGUUACCAGCUUAAGAACUGAGACAUUUUAGAUGCUUCAAUAUCUGACAUUUCUAUAUCAAUCCAAAUUCUUGUACUUAUUUCUCAUUUCUGUGGACUUCGUUCUUCAAAAGUACUGCAUGUUUCAUAAGCAAGGAUCAAAGAAACUGUCUACAGGUGUUGAACAUAUGUACAAGAGGACCAUCAAUACCUUCUGCAGUGGUACCAUGCACAGCAUCACCUAUUUCCUGUCAUUAUGUCCACUUUUGGAAGCUCAUUGCAUCUUUAUAUCUCAAAAGGCACAAGUUUUAUAUAUGUACCACCAGGAAUAGAAGUGAUCUUCUUUUUGGCAAGAGGAAUUUGUGUGUAAUGGCUUGUGGGAAAUUUUCAACAAAAUGUUUAUUGAAAAUAUGUAGUGAAAAAAUGAGAUUGUGAUCUACAGGACAAAGAAGGGAAUGAGUUAAUUAAAGGAUUUGGUGAAGCUCAUCUCUAAACUAUGGUCUGAAAUGCAGGUGAUAGGUAGAACUUUUUUUAGGCAUGGUUAAUGAAAUGCAUUCACAUCACAGAGAAGAGUAUAUUACUGUUUUGUUGUUGAAAGUUUUUAUUUAUUUGACAGAGAGAUAAUGAGCAGGGGGAGUGGCAGGCAGAGGGAGAAGGAUAAGCAGGCUUCCUGCAGAGUAGGGGGAACCUGAUGCUGGCUCCAUCCCUGGACCUGAGGAUCAUGACCUGAGCUGAAUGCAGACACUUCACCAGUUGCACCACCCAGGUGCCUGAGAAGAGCAUGGUUUUUAGCAAUAAGUUCCAUCAAGGAAAUGUGAUGGUAGUAUCAUUAUUGGCAGGGUGUUCAACAGUGUUUUUUGUUUUUGUUUUUGUUUUUAAUUUGAACUGACUGUGAGGCAGGGCAGUGGAGUUGGUUCAGAUGCAUCUGAUAUUCUGUGUAGAUGUAAAUCAAUAGUUUUUCUCCUUUGUUGUCAUUU